CAAUUCAAAUGUACCGAUGUCCCUUUUGCCUUGGGCCUGCAUCUCACAAUGCAGGUACGGAUUUACAGGUUGAUGAUUCAGAGGGCUAGGGUUCUCUACCAGCUGUUUGGUGAUCCCCCAGUUCCUUCGGGGCAUUAUCAUUACUUUACAGCCUUUCAGUAUUUACAGAUAGUCAUUGUUUUCAAUAUUUCAUUAGAGGCUUCAUAGACUAGAGUAACAGUUAGACGUAGUCUCUGACUUUUUAUGUUAAGGUGCAAAUAUGUUUCAAAAU
rnacentral:lncRNA from 1 species